UACCAGCCGGGGAAGUAGCGGAGCCCUGCACCCGAAAUCCGCUCCAGCGGGGGUCGAUUCCUCUUUUGAGGGCCGAAUCGAUGCGGCAGGCACUCGCGUUUUGUGUUGACGAGUGGGUCUCACGCAAUCAGACGCCGUGAACCAUGUCAGGUGGGGAACCAAGCAGCAUUAAGCGGCUUCCCUGAUGUGCCGUGAGGUCGCCUGCUCUGAGCAGAGCGCCCGGAUACCGCGC
rnacentral:SRP_RNA from 1 species